UAUGCAAAAAGAAAGGAAUAGGUUAGAAUACGUACCCGGCUUCCAACACUCACCAACUUAAUGUAAAGCAAGAUAAAGAAGAUAAAUAAGAAAUACUAAAACUAAAAAGCAUGAAGAGCAAAAAUUUAGACACAAAUUAAAAAUACGUCAAUCUUCCGACAAUGGCAUCAAAAACUUGAUAUGUCUUAAAUAUAACCGCAAGCACAUGGUGUGCAAAGCAGCAUGCUCGGCG
rnacentral:lncRNA from 1 species